GAAGAUACACAACACUUCAAUCCAAAAACAAUAGAGUUUUUGACAUCCUUAUAGUUUUUCUUUUUUUAGGUUUUAACACACUGGAUUAAGCAAAAGUAGGAGAAUAGUCUAAAGAGUCAGUACUCUCAUGCAUGUCUAGUGAACAAACAUUGCAUGUGAUUAUUUAGAAAGUAUGACAAUAUUACAAUAAGGUGAAAAUUACUACUCAACCUAGAGCAAAAGUAGUAAUAUCAGAGCCACCUCCACUGUGAAGAUGAUUAUGAUAAUUGUUGUUGGGUUGAAGGCGUAAGUCUAAUAUACGAGGCCCUCCAGUUGGAAAUCCAAGCACGGAAUUGUAGUCUCCAUCAUGCUCAACUAAUCCACCAUAUGGAUCCUCUUGUCUUGCAUCAAAUUCAAGUAGGAGAUUUCUAUUUAUUUCUUCCACAUUCCUAACCUUUUUCCUGUAAGUUUCAAUCUGAUUGCCAAUCACCUUAAACUUUCUUUCACGAAUAAGCUUCAGAGAAUUGUCCACAUUUUCCAUGAGUUCUUCCAACUGUUCAUAGUUCAGAUCAUUUAGGCUUUCUCCCAUCCUCUGUCUGAUCUCUUUUCGUAGAUUCCUAUUCACAUCCUUUAGCUUCCUUAGCUGCUCUUGCAUUUUCUCAUAGUGAGUAGUCCAAAUAUCAACUCCAAUAGUCUUCUGGUACAGAUCGAACAAUUGUUUGGUCGUGAUAGAGGGACUUAUAAACUCAUGAAGUUUUCCAGUACUAGAAAUCAUAACAAUUGAAACUUUAGCAUCACAAAGAACAGUAAGUUCAUUAGCCUUCUUGAAUAGCCCAUUUCUUCUCUUUGAAUAAGUCACUUGUCUAUUUGUUUGGUUUUCUAUUUUCUUGAUCUGGAUCUUAC
rnacentral:misc_RNA from 1 species